UACGGAGGUGGCAAGCGUUGCUCGGAAUCACUGGGCGUAAAGGGCGCGUAGGCGGGGAGGUAAGUCGGGUGUGAAAUCCCUCGGCCCAACCGAGGAACUGCGCCCGAGACUGCUUCUCUUGAGUCCCGGAGAGGAAGAUGGAAUUCCUGGUGUAGCGGCGAAAUGCGCAGAUAUCAGGAGGAACACCGGUGGCGAAGGCGGUUCUCUGGGCAUGUCCUGACGCUGAGGAGCGAAAGUGUGGGGAGCGAACAGG
rnacentral:rRNA from 1 species